GGGUGUGUAGCUCAGUGGUAGAGCGGCUGACUGCAGAUCAGCGGGUCCUCGGGUCAAAUUCGGGCGUGCCCU
rnacentral:tRNA from 1 species